CAUGCGACAUGCAGGCCAGCUGUAGUGUAGUCAGUACACAUUGUUCAGCUAUUGGAGAGGGUUCUUCUGCGGUGUGUAUUCAUAAUAUUUUCAUGCACUUCUUUACCAUUGCACAACAAACUGUGAUUUAAAAUAAUAAUUGUUUUAAUGUAAAUCUCUGGAAAAAAAACUCGUAUACACAGGAUUGUAUUAUAUUAUAUUAUUGAAUCAACUACGUGUUAAACAAAUUCUACAAUGACUUCUAUAAAGAAUAAUGUAAAAUUAAGAAGAGAACUAGGACUUUUCAGUGCAGUAUGUCUCAUAGUCAGCGUAAUGUUGGGAUCUGGAAUAUUUGUGUCCUCAGCCAGUGCGUUGAAGAGUACUGGAUCUGUUGGGAUGUGCCUAGUCAUUUGGACGUUGUGUGGACUUUUAUCUCUAUUGGGCGCUUUAUCGUACGCAGAAUUGGGUGGUAUUGUCAAUAAGUCUGGUGGCGAAUUUAGCUUCUACCAAUAUGCUUUUGCCGAUAUGCACAAAUUCUGGGGUCCGUUGGUCAGUUUCAUUUACUCGUGGGUUAGCAUCAUGUACAUCCGUCCAGCCGAAGUGGCCAUUAUCAUAUUGACUUUUGCUAAAUAUUUCGUUCGGCCAAUAAGUGUAGCCGUGUCGAUGGACCCAGAUUACGAACACUGUCUUAGAAAACUUGUCAGCAUACUAGUACUUGGUAUUAUCACUGCAAUCAACUACAACAGUGUCAAGUGUUUCAUAAAAAUCCAAAAUGUUUUUACAAUUUGUAAAGUAAUGGCCUGUAUGUGUGUGAUCGUCGGUGGACUAUAUCAGCUGCUAUAUCUGGGUAAUACACAAAAUUUGAAAACUGGUUUUCAAGGCACAAAAUCAUCGUUGAGCGAUUUAGUUAUGGCUUUUUAUAGUGGCCUUUGGGCGUAUGACGGAUGGACCGCCACUACUACCGUUUCUGAAGAAAUCAAAAAUCCUCAAAGAAAUAUAUUAUUAAGCAUACUUUUGGCUGUGCCAUUUAUGACAUUUUUUUACGUUUUAAUGAACGUAUCGUAUCUUACCGUUUUGUCGGUACCCGAAAUGAUCUCUGCAGAGGCAGUUGCAGUAGAAUUUGGCAGUCGAGCGCUUGGAUAUUUCAGCUUUGUCAUACCCUUUGGCGUGGUUGUUGCCACAUUUGGUUGUGCACUCAGCGUUCAGUUUGGAAUAACGAGGUUGUGUUUUGCCGCCAGCAGGGAAGGUCAGAUGCUGGAAGUAUUUUCUUAUGUGAGCGUAAAAAAUUUAACGCCCGCCCCGGCCGUUGUUUUACAAGGAAUACUUACUUUGUUUUGUCUCUUAGCCGGUGACAUUUUAAGUCUUAUACAGUUUACCGGCUUCUUGGUUUGGAUGUUUUACGGAAUUUCCAUGGUGGCCUUGUUGGUGAUACGUUAUACAAUAAGAGACGUUAAACGUCCGUUCAAAGUAAACACACCUAUUGUCGUACUAACGACAUUGCUUAAAAAUUAAAAUUAACGAUCACCUCUAUGGUGAAAAUGACAGUUGAUAAAAAAAGAAAAAAAAACAGUUGAUACUUUCCCCCAUGUCCUAGUAUGGACUUUAAAAACAAAAAUGUCUAUGUAUUUGAGGUAAAUAUAUUCUUAUGAAUAUUGAUGAAAAUAUUCAUCUUAUCGAGUAUGAAUCAAAACAAUAUCAUAUUCAGAGUCCUCAAAGGACUAAAAUUUCUCCACGAAAACUAUGUGAACGUUUUUGUUUAGCUUUCGAUAAAUAUCUGGGAUACCUAUUUAAUAAUGACCGAUGUAUGAUUUAUUUAACGCUUCAGACAUCAACAUGCCAUUACUGUUGUGAUAUGUUGUACUAUGACCAAAAGAUGUAGUAACACGAUAUCAGAUAUAGAUUCUAUAGUUUUGUACUUAUAUUUACGACAAAGAAAGUGCCGAUCAUCAUUCCAAUUUUCGUGCUCAUCAUGUCGGUUAUUUUGGUCGUCACGCCCAUACUACUUGAUCCAAAGCCUGAGUUCCUGAUCGCUCUCGGUUUCAUCUUGUCGGCG